rnacentral:lncRNA from 1 species
GGCGGCCCCUGCGCCCCCCCUUCCCCUCUCCGCCCCGGUACCGCUCACGGUCCCUCCGCCGGCCGAUCCGUUCUCCCCGCAGACCGGUCUCCAGCCGCCGCCGCGCCCGGGCAGCUCCGUGAGUCGCCUCCCACCGUCGCCGUCCCCGGGGGCGCUCGGUAACGGGACGGGGCGGCCGCUGCCCCCGCCCCGCGGCUGCUCAGGGUGCGGAUAACCCCCUAACGAUCCAGUUAAAGGCUCGAAGGGGCUCGGAGCCGCUUUAGCCGGCCCCUGAUAUUUCGCCGCCUUUGUCUCUGCUCACCGGUCCCCAUUGGGAAGGGAACCGCGGGCCCCAACCGCUCCCCCCACCUUGCUCCCCACGGGGACCCGAGUGGGAAGCAGGAUCCAGAGCCGACCGGGAGACCGGAGGAGGCAGGAGGCGGCGGAGCUGGUGGGGUGAACCGGCAGGAUCCGAGCCCCCCCCCCGCUCCCUGCGUGGUCCUUCCCUCCCAUCUCCAGCUCUGCUUGAUCCACGUGAAACUAAAGAUUCCCAAGUUCCCCAGUGUAUCAUGCUGAAGUGGGAAGACUGGGCCUGGGAAGAGUGGUUCUGAUUGACUUCACCUCCUCCAGCAGAGAAACCACUGCAGCUCUUCCAGUCAUGUUGAAGCUGGGACCACAGUGAGGAGGCCAAGGGGCAGAAGUCAGAAUGGAUGUUUCCUCUCCCCACAGACACCUUGCUUCAACACCCACACAAAAACUGUGUGCCUGCAGUUCACGUUGAA